GGCCAAGCUAAUAAGGGUGUACGAUGGAUGCCUUGGCGAAGACUGGCGAUGAAGGGCGUGGCAAGCUGCGAUAAGCCCCGGUGAGGUGCAAGCAACCUUUGACCCGGGGAUUCCCGAAUGGGGUAACCCAUCCACCGUAAGGUGGAUAUCCUACCGCAAGGUAGGAGGCGAACCGAGGGAAGUGAACCAUCUCAGUACCUCGAGGAAAAGAAAAAAAUUUUGAUUCCCUGAGUAGCGGCGAGCGAAACGGGAACAGCCCAAACCGGAUGAUGUUAUAGCAUAGCCGCGUUCAUCAUCCGGGGUUGUAGGACCUGACACGGAAGGGGCUAUACUUCCAGCAUGUCACAACCUUUUGGGUUAGUCGAAUGGUCUGGAAAGACCAGCCAAAGAAGGUGAUAGCCCUGUAGACGAAAACUCAAAAGGCAUGCGUCAGGCACCUGAGUACCACGGAGGAACCGAGGAGCUCUGUGGGAAUCUGCCACGACCACGUGGCAAGGCUAAAUACACGUCUUCGACCGAUAGUGGACAAGUACCGUGAGGGAAAGGUGAAAAGAACCCCGGGAGGGGAGUGAAAUAGAACCUGAAAUCGUACACCUACAAGCAGUCGGAGUCCGCCAUUUUUAAUGGCGGGUGACGGCGUGCCUAUUGAAGAAUGAGCCAGCGAGUUACUGGCGGUAGCGAGGUUAAUCCACCUAAGUGGAGGAGCCGUAGCGAAAGCGAGUGGUGCAAAUAGCGCCCAUUAGUUACCGUCAGUAGACCCGAAGCCAGGUGAUCUAUCCAUGGGCAGGAUGAACCCUUCGUAACAGAAGGGGGAGGUCCGAACCGGUGACAGUUGCAAAUGUCUCGGAUGACCUGUGGAUAGGAGUGAAAGGCUA
rnacentral:rRNA from 1 species